rnacentral:rRNA from 1 species
UACGGAGGGUGCAAGCGUUAAUCGGAAUUACUGGGCGUAAAGCGCGCGUAGGCGGCUAGAUAAGUCGGAUGUGAAAGCCCCGGGCUCAACCUGGGAACUGCAUACGAUACUGUCUGGCUAGAGUAUGAGAGAGGGAGGUAGAAUUCCACGUGUAGCGGUGAAAUGCGUAGAUAUGUGGAGGAAUACCGAUGGCGAAGACGACCUCCUGGCUUAAUACUGACGCUGAGGUGCGAAAGCGUAGGGAGCAAACAGG